rnacentral:rRNA from 1 species
UUAAAUUGAAGAGUUUGAUCAUGGCUCAGAUUGAACGCUGGCGGCAGGCCUAACACAUGCAAGUCGAACGGUAACAGGAAUUAGCUUGCUG